AACAAGAUUUCAAAACCUUGGCUAAGGCCGCUGGAUUUCAAGGUUUCAAAGUUGUGUGCUCUGCUUUUAGCACUUACAUUAUGGAGUUUCUUAAAAAGCCUUGAGUCUUUGGUUUCUUUGUUGCACUUACGUUUCAAAAUAAUGUGGUUUUCCUAUUUAUGUAUUUCUCUAUCUACGUUACCGAACAAGAAAAAGUUCAUAUUUGCUUUUGUUUAAAUAAAUAAAUAAUUUUUAAUGUGGACGCGUUUUGUUUAGAAGAAUACUUUUUUACUCUUAUUAUCAUUUAUCAUAACCAUAAUUUAAUCUCUCCUCAUCCAUGCCAGCAAGUUUCAAACUUCAGACCUUUUUAUUUUUAUUUUUAUAAGAGAUUCUACCAUUUCAAUUAGAUGACACACUAAUUUAGAAUAAUACUAAUUAUUGUAACACAAAAAAAUGAGAUUACUACUUUCUCCCUAGAGAAAUUUAUAUUUAUUAAUAUUACCUACUAGUAUUUUCGCAAUACCCCAUUACCUCUUCAGAUUAUAAUUUAAUAAUAUAACUCUCAUUUCCAAGUACACUUUUACCUUUGAGCAACAUGACUUCAGAAGUUAGAUUUAAUUUGCUUAAAUAGCAUAACCACCACAUCAUAUUUUCAUGUGUCACAUUUUUUUAUGCAUACAACUUUACCAGUAUCGGCUAAAAUCUCGAAUCAAUAAUGUUUCUAAGUCAUUACAUCACACUUUUGUAUUUCAUCACCUAGUUUUUCUGUAUCAGUAAAUGUAACGUAAAUAGAAUUCAAUUUUUAUAAGCUAACUAAAGCUAAGAGAGCUCUGGUACAUCUGAAUUAAAAUUAGUCGUGAUUGACUUUGUGUUAAAGUACGUGUUAUUGCUUGAUGAGUAUAUAAUAUAUACAUUUUUUAUCUUUAAUUAUAUAAAUGUUAGUUAUUAUUAUAUGUUAUUUUUAAUUAAUUAAAUUAUUUCAUUAGACAGGAAAGUAAUUGGAGAUUGGGAAACCGAAAGUGGAUAAAAGAUCAAAAGUGGAAAGAAUUGAAGAAUUCAAGAUUAUGUUCCAAAUAAUCUUCCGCAUGAGCUCAAAAUAAUUAAAGAAAAAUUUUAUUCAUCAAUUUGAAAUGCAUGUGCCAGACACUAAAAGCAGACAUUAUUAAUUUGCCUUUUGCUUUUAAGUCAAACGAGUGGCUAGCUUUCAAAUUUUAACGGGGAAAUAAUAUAAAAACAAUUUGGUGAGUGGGCAUGGAUAUUUAGCUUAUGAGAGGCGGUUUCCUAGCAAUCAUAAUUUGAGAAGAUUCUAGCCAAGUUGCACAUUAUAUAAAGGCAAGCCACGACCGCGUAAAGGGAGAGGAGGCAUUCGGAGAGAAGGCGGGAGUGGCAGCAGCAGCAGUUCCGUUUCCCAUGACUGAUUUUAUUUUAUUUGUUGCUCUUUAUUUAAGUAUGUUUAGUUAAUUUUUUUAUACUGAGAUUAAGGAUGAAACCAUAUUCCAUAAAAUAUUUUUUUUUAUUUAAUUAAUUUCCUACAUAUGUUCUUUAAUAUUUAUGGUUCUUGUUUCACAUGAUUAGUUGAAUAUAAUUAAAUUUUUUCACUAAUUCUGUCUGCAUUAUUGAUUGUUAGGAUUAGUAUUUAACUAAAUUUAUGCUUGAAUCUAUAAAUUCUAUAUAUGAUUAUUUUUAUUAUGUAUCUUUCAUUAAAUUGUUUACACAGAGUGCUUAGAAAAACUUUGACUCUUUGUUAUUCAAUAUGUUUAAAUGAGAUGCUUAAAUAUCAUACUAUUAAGCAGAAAAAGAACCUACACAAAAUUAAUUUUAAUUGGGCUUAAUUGUUAUAUCCAUGAGAUGACAUAAAUUGAUUUCGAGUUGUCACUUUAAAAUUGGGGAUUAAUUAAUAUUAAAAUUGGGGAUUAAUUAACACAAAAUUAAUUUUAAUUGGGCUUAAUUGUUAUAUCCAUGAGAUGACAUAAAUUGAUUUCGAGUUGUCACUUUAAAAUUGGGGAUUAAUUAAUAAUUACUAAUUGAAUAGUGGUAGAUUUUGAAACUUUGGUAAUUUUUAUCUUAUUGAAUUCUCCUUUGUUUUAAUUACUUUCUUAGUUUAAUUAGUUUUAUUUCUCUUAAAACUCAAUUUGCUCAACUAGAUUAGGAUUAAUAUUAAUUUUACAUUUAAAUUAGACAUUUCAAUUUCUAACAACCCAUAUGGGUUCGAUUUCGUUACCAUUAUUCUAUUUCUAGAUUCGUGAGCUUGCAAGUAUAUUAAAAUUUUACACAACAUUACUCAAACUAGAAUAUACAAUGAUUGCAUGCUGAUGUAUUACACGAUCGAUAACCAAAAGAUAUUAAGUUAAUCGUUUGAGAAAACAAGUGAUGCUGCUUAUUGAAGAUUAAUUAGAUUAACGGUGUUUUGUAAAGUUUUCAAUUAAAUAGGUCCAUUAAGUAAAUAAGACAGGAAGCAGAUGUAAGUCUUAGAAACGUAAAGACAGUGUGAAAGUUAGUUUCAUGCCUGUAGAGUUUACUUUGUUGACCCACUGGACGAAAUUAUAAGUUGGUUGUUAGGACUCCUUAUUAACAGAUCUACGUUUGUUGUUCAACAAUAUAAAUGUCUGUUCUAAGAAAAUUCACAAGAGGAUAGUUUUUCGGUUUAUUUUAUUUUACCAUGUACAAAAGAAAUUGACACACGUCACUCCGACAUGUAUAAAGUUAAUUACUUCCUCGUGACUGUUAUUGUUGUGUUUCUUGAGUUUUUCUCAUCACUUGUGUUGAUUCCUUUUUGUUUCUGUGUAAACUUCAUUGAAUGUUAGUUUCGAAACAUUAAAUCAGGGGCGUCGAUAUGCCUUGAACUUGUUGCUAAAGGGGACUCUAUCUGUUAUAAUUAACAAAAUAAUGCUGCCGCUGCGCUAAUAUAUAGAGAGAGAAGCUGAUCACCACUUUUGCUUAACCAAACCAAUUAUACUUUGGCCUGCAUUUGUUGUAUUUUUAAAAGUGCAACACGUCUAUCUAUCUUAUCAAUCACUAGAACCGUAUAAUUAAUAAAUAAUCACAUGUAAGCAAACCAUUCUAAAUGGUCAUGCUUUUCGCUUAACAUCAUACUGCCUAACACAUUUUUUUCUUUUUCUUUUUUUAAAUUUUUUUUCAGAAAACUUGAGAUUCCAUAUGAGGGAUGAUGUAUUCUAGAGACACGGUUUUAAUAGCUAGAAAGGCCAAAUAAUAUUUGAAAUUCUUUGCUUUCAAGAUAGGGCCGUGAUCACCUCGUGAUUUACUUUUAAAUUUUCACUCGAGCGAAUAUAAAAUUGACAAUUAGUUUUAUUAAAAUAAAUAAAUUUGUAUCUGUUGUGUGCGGAAUGCGGAAUCAAGCGCACCAAAUAAUCACAAGAAAAAUAAAGUACACAAAAUUUAACGUGAUUCGGCAAUAUGCCUACGUCUAGGGGAAUAAGAGAAAAUAAUUGUAUCACUAACAAUUAUUAAAGUACAAUAUUGAAGUAAAGAAAACCUCACUUCCCAUAACCCAAAUACACCAAUACUCUUACACACUUAAAAGGAAAAACCUCUCAAAUACACACUCUCUUAACAAUUCUACAAUUGAAUUGUUACUCUCUUAAAUGUUUUGGGAUGCUUUGGCUCUAUGAAUGAAGCUCUAUUUAUAGUUGAGCUUCACUGUAAAAAAGUCUCAAAAGUAGUUGGCAAAAGUCCUGCAAUUUGGCAUCAAAUUAAAAAAAACAAAAAAUGCAUGCUUCUCUACCUUCAAUUUUCCAAUUUUUGUCAAGAAAAGCAUGCAGAUUCAAUGCAUUCAAAAUCCAACAUGUGAACCCUCUUUUUUACUUUUGACUUUUCAACAAUUCUCCACCUCAAUGAAGAUUUGUUUAAAUCUGAGUCGACUAUCAAUGAAUCAUUAUCCCCAAAGUGGCUGCAUCUCUGUGACUGCCUACGUACCCAUAAUUUGGGAUCAAACUAAUUGUAGUUCAAAAAAUUUUCCAAACUCAACACAUUUGAAGGAUUUGAAUUAGUUUCUAGCAAUGUUGAAACUUAACUCCAGAAAUCACCUUUGUCAACAUAUCUGAUGGAUUAUCUUUGGUAUCAAUUUUUCUCAACAACACAACACCGUUCCCGAUAACCUCCCUCACAUAAUGAUAUUUUACAUUUAUGUGCUUUGUUCGAGCAUGAUAUGUUUAGUUCUUUGCUAGGAAUAUCACACUUUGGUUACCAUAGAAAACCUCAAUGUUCUCCUGGAUUACUCCCAAAUCUCCUAACAAGCCUUUUAAUUAAAUAGCUUCCUUUACAGCCUCAGUUGCUGUCAUGUGCUUUGCUUCCUUAGUGGAAAGAGGAAUUGUCAACGGUAGAAUUGACCUAUAACUAAUCGGACCUCCCCCCAAUGUGAAUACGUAGCCCGUUGUUAAUCUUCGCUAGCAAGGUCUCCAGCGAAAUCAGAAUCACAAUACCCAACACAUGAUUGACCACAAUCCUUCUUGAAUAAUCCUCCAACAUCAACUGUCCCAUACAAAUAUCGAAGAAUCCACUUCACCGUAAACCAAUGGUUUUUACGUAGAUUAUGCAUGUAUCGACUAACCAUACUCACAACUUGAGAUAUAUCAGGCCUUGUGCACACCAUAGCAUACAUAAGACUACCCACAACACUAGCAGAUAGAACAUGAAACAUGUAAUCGAGCUCCUCUUGAGAUGUAGGACAUGAAAAAGAGCUUAAUUUGAAAUGAGGAGCUAGAUGAGUAGAAAUUGGUUUGGUUUUGUCAUCUAUGCCAAACCUUUCUAACACUUUCUUCAAAUAAGACUUUUGAGUCAACCAUAUGCUUCCAUUCUUUUUGUCUCUACGAAUCUCCAUCCCAAGUAUUCUCUGUGCAUCACCCAAGUCUUUCAUCUUGAACUCAAAAGCUGACUACUUCUUUAAUCUUUCAAUCUCACCUCCAUUCUUUGAAGCCAUAAGCAUAUAGUCGACAUAGAGUAACAGAUAGAUGGAAGCUUCAUCUUAUAAUCUUUUAAAGUAAACAAAAUGAUCAUGUUCACUUUUGGUGAAUUUCUGUCCUUGUAUGAAUUGAUCAAAACAACAUCCAGUUGGAGCUUGAGGUAAAUUCAAUAAGAGGACGAUUUUAAUUUUCUUUGUGUUUUAAUUUGUUUCUCUGUUUGUGUGCUUUAAUUUAUUGAUUAAAAUCUUAAUUCAUUUUGCGCUGUUACUUACAGUGGAUAUGUCAUAAUUGGAGUGAAGAAGCCUGCGUGAAGAUCUUGAAGAAUUGCUACGAAGCACUUCCAGAAGAUGGGAAAGUGAUUGUUGCUGACUGUAUUCUCCCAGUACUCCCAGACACAAGCCUUGCUUCCAAACAUGUGAUCCAACUUGACUGCAUCAUGUUGGCUUCUACUACAGGUGGGAGAGAGAUGACCGAACAAGAUUUCAAAACCUUGGCUAAGGCCGCCGGAUUUCAAGGCUUCAAAGUUGUGUGCUCUGCUUUUAACACUUACAUUAUGGAGUUUCUUAAAAAGCCUUGAGUCCUUGGUUUCUUUAUUGGAUUUACAUUUCAAAUUAAUGUGGUUUUCCUAUUUGUGUAUUUCUCUACCUACGUUCCCGAAUAAGGAAAAGUUCAUAUUUGCUUUUGUUUAAUAAAUAUUGUGGUUUUUAUUGUGGAUGUGUUUUGUUUAGAAA
rnacentral:lncRNA from 1 species